GAUGAACGCUAGCGGCAGGCCUAACACAUGCAAGUCGAGGGGGAAGUUACUUUCGGGUGACUGAGACCGGCGUACGGGUGCGUAACGCGUAUACAAUCUGCCUUUCACUGGGGGAUAGCCCGAAGAAAUUUGGAUUAAUACCCCAUAGUAUAUAGGGACGGCAUCGUUUUUAUAUUAAAGCUUAGGUGGUGAAAGAUGAGUAUGCGUUCUAUUAGCUAGUUGGAGAGGUAACGGCCCCCCAAGGCGAUGAUAGAUAGGGGUUCUGAGAGGGAUGUCCCCCACACUGGUACUGAGAUACGGACCAGACUCCUACGGGAGGCAGCAGUUAGGAAUAUUGGACAAUGGUCGGAAGACUGAUCCAGCCAUGCCGCGUGCAGGAUGAAGGUCUUAUGGAUUGUAAACUGCUUUUGUAAGGGAAGAAUAAGGGCUACGCGUAGUUUGAUGACGGUACCUUACGAAUAAGCAUCGGCUAACUCCGUG
rnacentral:rRNA from 1 species